rnacentral:rRNA from 1 species
GAUGAACGCUAGCGGGAGGCCUAACACAUGCAAGCCGAGCGGUAUUGUUUCUUCGGAAAUGAGAGAGCGGCGUACGGGUGCGUAACACGUGUGCAACCUGCCUUUAUCUGGGGGAUAGCCUUUCGAAAGGAAGAUUAAUACUCCAUAAUAUAUUGAACGGCAUCGUUUAAUAUUUAAAGCUCCGGCGGAUAGAGAUGGGCACGCGCAAGAUUAGCUAGUUGGUGAGGUAACGGCUCACCAAGGCGAUGAUCUUUAGGGGGCCUGAGAGGGUGAUCCCCCAAACUGGUACUGAGACACGGACCAGACUCCUACGGGAGGCAGCAGUGAGGAAUAUUGGUCAAUGGGUGCAAGCCUGAACCAGCCAUCCCGCGUGAAGGACGACUGCCCUAUGGGUUGUAAACUUCUUUUGUAUAGGGAUAAACCUACCCUCGUGAGGGUAGCUGAAGGUACUAUACGAAUAAGCACCGGCUAACUCCGUG